UUGGAGAGUUUGAUCCUGGCUCAGGACGAACGCUGGCGGCGUGCUUAACACAUGCAAGUCGAACGGAAAGGCCUCCUUCGGGGGGUACUCGAGUGGCGAACGGGUGAGUAACACGUGGGUGAUCUGCCCUGCACUUUGGGAUAAGCCUGGGAAACUGGGUCUAAUACCGAAUACACCCUUUUGGUCGCAUGGCCGUUAGGGGAAAGCUUUUGCGGUGUGGGAUGGGCCCGCGGCCUAGUCUGAGAGGGUGACCGGCCACACUGGGACUGAGAUACGGCCCAGACUCCUACGGGAGGCAGCAGUGGGGAAUAUUGCACAAUGGGCGCAAGCCUGAUGCAGCGACGCCGCGUGAGGGAUGACGGCCUUCGGGUUGUAAACCUCUUUCGCUCACGACGAAGGGUGACUGACGGUAGUGAGAGAAGAAGGACCGGCCAACUACGUGCCAGCAGCCGCGGUAAUACGUAGGGUCCGAGCGUUGUCCGGAAUUACUGGGCGUAAAGAGCUCGUAGGUGGUUUGUCGCGUCGUCCGUGAAAACUCACAGCUUAACUGUGGGCGUGCGGGCGAUACGGGCAGACUGGAGUACUGCAGGGGAGACUGGAAUUCCUGGUGUAGCGGUGGAAUGCGCAGAUAUCAGGAGGAACACCGGUGGCGAAGGCGGGUCUCUGGGCAGUAACUGACGCUGAGGAGCGAAAGCGUGGGGAGCGAACAGGAUUAGAUACCCUGGUAGUCCACGCCGUAAACGGUGGGUACUAGGUGUGGGUUCUUUCCUAAGGAUCCGUGCCGUAGCUAACGCAUUAAGUACCCCGCCUGGGGAGUACGGCCGCAAGGCUAAAACUCAAAGGAAUUGACGGGGGCCCGCACAAGCGGCGGAGCAUGUGGAUUAAUUCGAUGCAACGCGAAGAACCUUACCUGGGUUUGACAUGCACAGGACGCUGGCAGAGAUGUCGGUUCCCUUGUGGCCUGUGUGCAGGUGGUGCAUGGCUGUCGUCAGCUCGUGUCGUGAGAUGUUGGGUUAAGUCCCGCAACGAGCGCAACCCUUGUCUCAUGUUGCCAGCACGUGAUGGUGGGGACUCGUGAGAGACUGCCGGGGUCAACUCGGAGGAAGGUGGGGAUGACGUCAAGUCAUCAUGCCCCUUAUGUCCAGGGCUUCACACAUGCUACAAUGGCCGGUACAAAGGGCUGCGAUGCCGUGAGGUGGAGCGAAUCCUUUUAAAGCCGGUCUCAGUUCGGAUCGGGGUCUGCAACUCGACCCCGUGAAGUCGGAGUCGCUAGUAAUCGCAGAUCAGCAACGCUGCGGUGAAUACGUUCCCGGGCCUUGUACACACCGCCCGUCACGUCAUGAAAGUCGGUAACACCCGAAGCCGGUGGCCUAACCCCGUGUGGGAGGGAGCCGUCGAAGGUGGGAUCGGCGAUUGGGACGAAGUCGUAACAAGGUAGCCGUACCGGAAGGUGCGGCUGGAUCACCUCCUUU
rnacentral:rRNA from 1 species